AAUACAAGAGAAAAUGUGGUUAUGGCCAUUAAUCAAAAUAAAUAUAUAUGACCAAAUAAAAGCAUAUAAAAAAACUCACUGUCUCUUCAAUAGGCACAGUCGUAUCAAUUCGAUGUAUGUAGUAGAGAUCAAUAUAAUCCACACCAAGACGCUUCAAACUAUCCUCACAGCAAGAACGGGCAUAUUCAGGCGAACCUUUCACUAUAACUUCUGUGGGAGAAAUUCCAGCUACUCCAAACUUUGUAGCUAACUCAACCUUUUCCCGAGGUAACUGCUUUAGUGCCUGCAACAUUGGAAUGUCUUCAGUAAGAAUCUCAAAGAUGACCAGCAAAUUGCUCAUAUGUUACAGUUAUUGGUUUUUAAUCAAUAAUCGUCUACUGGUCCAUU
rnacentral:lncRNA from 1 species